GGUGCAUUGGUUCGGUCACCGGGGAGACCGUUGCCGGGAAACGCGGUGUCAGAAGCCCCGCGGGUUGUGCUGCCGCAGAAUAAUGGCCAGUAAGAAGAAGGAGCUAAUACUGCAGUUGUUGAUGUGUAUCAAGGCUGGUGCGGUCCAUGCAGAACAGUCGUGAACCUUUUCAGAAAAAUAAGGAAUGAGCU